CACAUAUUUUUCAACAUGGAAGGACGUGUGUGUCGGGCUCGAUUAAAAAAAACGUGGAAAUUAAUUAUCUCAUAAUGGUGUUAGUUUCGAAAGGCUAUAUUUAUAUAUGUAGACGCCAGCCUACCAUUUUGGUUGAUGGCGAUGAUCUGAUAUUAUGAUAAGGAAAAAUCUGGACCACGAGAUAACUGUAACCGCGCCAGUUAACUCGUUCAGGAUGUGGUGUAAGUACUGCCUUCAUAUAUUCCUGAUAAAUAAUUUUCAUGAUGUUUAUCGUGAUCCGAGGGCUGAUUGUUUGUGAAUGUUAACUCUUUGACUGAAUUAAUGAACACCCUCUUAUUUAUUAUGGAAAUCUCUACAAUCUUGUAAUAUUUACAUGAUUGUAUUACAGUUUAUGCUGUCUGAGCAUAGAGAAGCACCUGGAACCAUAAAUGGCUUCUUGAAAACAUGCAUCACAUCUCAUGUCUACACAUGUAUCCUGCAUUGAUGAGAAGGGUUGUUCAAAUACACAUCCAUACAUAAUGUAUGUACAUAUAUCCUGCAUUAGUGAAGAGAGUAUACACCAUCCCUGUUAUAGAAUGCAGAAUCUACUGGUGAAGGUAAGAUGCAAAUUGAGGUGAGAC